AUUGAACGCUGGCGGCAGGCCUAACACAUGCAAGUCGAGCGAGCGGCGGACGGGUGAGUAAUGUAUGGGGACUGCCCGAUAGAGGGGGAUAACUACUGGAAACGGUGGCUAAUACCGCAUACUAUCGGAUAACCCAUAUUGGAUUAGCUAGUAGGUGGGGUAAAGGCUAACCUAGGCGACGAUCUCUAGCUGGUCUGAGAGGAGGAUCAGCCAGACCGGGACUGCGACACACCCGGGACUCCUACGGAGGCAGCAGUGGGGAAUAAUUCACAAUGGGCGCAAGCCUGAUGCAUCCAUGCCGCGUGUAUGAAGAAGGCUUUAGGGUUGUAAAGUACUUUCAGCGGGGAGGCGUUACCCGCAGAAGAAGCACCGGCUAACUCCGUGCCAGCAGCCGCGGUAAUAC
rnacentral:rRNA from 1 species